CUGCCAGCGCCCCACGCCCGCAAGCGCGGCCCCUCCGCCACCUCGCGGCCCGGCCUGACCUGUUAAUCACGUCCCCACGGCUCUUCUAGCGGGGACACCGCCGUCUGCAGGCUCCGUCCCCACCGUGCCCAGACCCCGGGAAGUUUGUCAGUCAGCACCCUGAUGCCAGCCGAUUCUCAAAAAGCCAGGAGGAUCCAAGCAGAUCAUUUGCCAGACGGUACUGCAGCAAUGGAGAUGAACAGAUAAUUCACACAGAAAGAAGGAUGCAGGAUGCUCGAGACUCUUGCAGUAAUUUGGGCAAAGAUUUCCACAGUGCAAAAUAGAAAAAACAACUGGCAAAUAGCUGUACAAAUUACAGUCCAUUUUCAUCAUGGAAUGUCAGUUUGGCAACAAUGGCAUCGAGGCCCCAAAGCAGCUCUGCAGUAGGGGGGUUCCUCCUUGGUGACUGGAUGGGCACAGCCAAGCACAGGCUCCUGAAGAUCCCAGCUCCAGGAAACAUCAGCAUGGUUCAUUGCAUUGUCCACCUGAAUUCUUCACCCCUCCCUGUGGCUGUGUCCAUUGCCCUGUAGUGUUGCAGUUCCCCUCAGGAAAAAGAUAUCAUUUACUUCUCUGACCCUUGAUUUGGAGCUUGGCUAUGUGACGUGCUUUGGCCAAUGGGAUAUUGGAUGACACAACAUAAGGAGAGACACAGAUAUGCAUAUGCACAAUGCAGCUUGCCUUUUUAUGCUUCUCCCUUCACCACGAAAAGAGCUUUCCCUGGGGGUAGCAGCUGUCCCUGCAGCCUGUGUUCAGAAUGCACAAAUGUGAGGAGCCAAGCCCAGCCAGCUUGAAAGUGAGUUGCCAGGCCCGGCGCAGUGGCUCACACCUGUAAUCCCAGCACUUUGGGGGGCCGAGACAGGCAGAUCACCUGAGGUCCGGAGUUCGAGACGAGCCUGACCAACAUGGAGAAACCCAGUCUCUACUAAAAAAUACAAAAUUAGGCCUGGCGCAGUGGCUCACGCCUGUAAUCUCAGCACUUUGGGAGGCCGAGGCAGGCGGAUUACCUGAGGUCGGGAGUUCGAGACCAGCCUGGCCAACAUGGAGAAACCCCGUUUCUACUAAAAAUACAAAAGUAGCCGGGCGUGGUGGCACAUGCCUGUAAUCCCAGCUACUUGGGAGGCUAAGGCAGGAGAAUCGCUUGAACCCGGGAGGCAGAGGUUGCGGUGAGCCGAGAUCACGCCAUUGCACUCCAGCCUGGGCAACAAGAGCAAAACUCCGUUGAAAGAAAGAAAGGAAAGAAAGGAAGGAAGGCAGACAAAAUUAGCCGGGCGUGGUAGCGCAUGCCUGUAAUCCCAGCUACUCAGGAGACUGAGGCAGGAGAAUCACUUGAACCUGGGAGGUGGAGGUUGCAGUGAGCUGAGAUGGUGCCAUUG
ensembl:lncRNA novel transcript